GACGGGGGAUGCGAGCGUUAUCCGGAAUGAUUGGGCGUAAAGGGUCCGCAGGUGGCCCGGUCAGUCCGCUGUCAAAGCCUGGGGCUCAACCCUGGAGAGGCGGCGGAGACCACCGGGCUUGAGUCCGGUAGGGGCAGAGGGAAUUCCCGGUGGAGCGGUGAAAUGCGUAGAGAUGGAAAGAACACCAACGGCGAAAGCAACUCUGCUGGGCCGACACUGACACUGAGAGACGAAAGCUAGGGGAGCGAAUGGG
rnacentral:rRNA from 1 species